UGGGGAAUUUUGGACAAUGGGCGAAAGCCUGAUCCAGCAAUGCCGCGUGUGUGAAGAAGGCCUUCGGGUUGUAAAGCACUUUUGUCCGGAAAGAAAUCCUUGGCUCUAAUACAGUCGGGGGAUGACGGUACCGGAAGAAUAAGCACCGGCUAACUACGUGCCAGCAGCCGCGGUAAUACGUAGGGUGCAAGCGUUAAUCGGAAUUACUGGGCGUAAAGCGUGCGCAGGCGGUUUGCUAAGACCGAUGUGAAAAUCCCCGGGCUCAACCUGGGAACUGCAUUGGUGACUGGCAGGCUAGAGUAUGGCAGAGGGGGGUAGAAUUCCACGUGUAGCAGUGAAAUGCGUAGAGAUGUGGAGGAAUACCGAUGGCGAAGGCAGCCCCCUGGCAAGUACUGACGCUCAUGCACGAAAAGCGUGGGGGAGCAAAACAGGAUUAGAUACCCCUGGUAGUCCACGCCCUAAAACGAUGUCAACUAGUUGUUGGGGGAUUCAUUUUCCUUAGUAACGUAGCUAACGCGUGAAGUUGACCGCCUGGGGAGUACGGUCGCAAGAUUAAAAACUUAAAUAAUUG
rnacentral:rRNA from 1 species